GACGCGGGGCUCGAACUCACAAACCGCGAGAUCGUGACCUGAGCCGAAGUCGACCGCUUAACCGACUGAGCCACCCAGGCGCCCCUAGGACUCCUGAUUUUAUUAGAAUGCCAUGCUUCAGAGUUUGCUGCGUAAAACCAGAGGCGUCCGGCCUAAAAUUCCAGUAAGGACGCAGCAGGGCCUGUGCUACAUGGGAGAAGACACAGAGGCUGCCCGAACGGCGUCAGCCCCUCUAAAAUCUGCCCAACAGUCGUAACGUUCUACAAAACCACACGAGCGCUGAGUGGUCUCCGAGGAAGCCAGGCCGCAGAAUGACAGGACCGAUAGCCGUUGAGUGCCACAUCUCGUUCUGAGCUGGGCUCAAGAGCGUGCUCUCCAAUACUGACAACUCACGGGGGAGGGGCCGGUGGCCCUGCAGCCCCUGCGGCCCCAGACCUAGCAUCACUCCUUUUUUUUUUUUCCUUGCCUGCCACCACCCUGAGGCAUCACAAGGACCCUAGCGAAGCUUGGCCACCUCACUUAGUAGGAUCUGCUCACGGGUCGGCUCCUCCUGAAUCUGCUUGGUCAGACCACCGAUGUCCCUCUGGCAAGUCCUAUGGGCUCCCCCUCAUCGGCACCUGGCCUCCCAUCGACAGUCUGGAUCGUGGCUUGGCUUCGACAGCCUCCCGCCCUGUGCCGUGGACCAACGAAGCUCAAACCUGUACCGUCCUCUUCAGAGCAUGCGCCAGCCCCGUGGAAUGUUCCCUCAAAAGGUUCCGUUUCUUUAGCUCUGGGCUGUGCCAGGUGAUGCUGUGUCUCUCCCGCUUGUAGCUUCCCACUUCGCGGUGUCUGUCAUUUGAUCCCUGUGAGCGAGGGUCCUCGUUCUGUGUCCAGGGCUCGAGCGCAAGCUAGAGGCUGCCUGAGAUCUCCCAGCUGCUGACGCGGGAUUUCUGGCUCUUCCUUUUCCAGGAGCCACGAGGAGGGCAAAGGGGCUAGAGAGUGAGCGGAUGGGAACCGAAAGCCAUCCUUAGCCUCCGCGUUUUGAGAUUUUUGUUGGAGGAGAGGGAAAUGGAAGAAUGGAGGGAAAAUAACAGGGUGGCCGUGGACUCAUCUGAACAUGGCAGACGGGCUGGCCUUACAGAAGUUCACCCAGCCCACCUGCAGAAUCGGUUCGGACCUGGCAAGUGUGUUCAGGGGCCGAGAUGCAGAGGAUCUUUCCGGGGGAGGUGCCUGCAGGGGACGUUUGCUUAACAAAGUACGGGGACGUCAUCCGUCUGCAGGGGAGGACAGAGGAGGACUAGAAGGUGCCUUCUGUCCCCUCGAAACCGUGAUCCCCCGCCUCUCCCCCGGCUCCAACCUCGUGUGAACCGAAGGCUACUCUCUCUUUCUCUCUCUCUGCCUCGGGGACACAGCGUGGGCGGGGAAGAGCAGGUGUGCAUCCACACGGCCGUCUUUUCUAGGAGCCGGUGACUCGCCGCCCCCCCCCAAACCCUUCCUCGGAGACAACCGUGCCGGAGUCCAGAGCCUUUCUCCAGACGUUGAGAGGAGAGGCCUCGUGGCGAGGGCUGAGCUGUUUCCCCUGGGAAGCGUCUGGCAACUCUAAUGAGGACCGGCACUUUGCGUUUAUAGAACGCCUUUCAUCUGCGCCUCUCAAAGCGGCUCCACAAACAUUAAUUAACGCUCACACCUGUGAGGCAGGUGAGGCCGGCUGCCCCCAAGUUUAGAGAUGAGGAAACGGAGGUUUGGAAGGAGAGGGGCUGGGGGUGGCUCUGCUGCAAAGAGCCGGCCUCCUGGAUUCCCGGCGCCCCGACCCCGACCCCGGUGGCCUUGACCGCAGAGCCCCGGAGCCUCCCACCGUCCCCCUGGCGGGGCUCGGAACAUGGGUCCCGGAGGCUGUGAAAGGUGGAGACGUGGCCACGGGGCUCCGGCUCCCUCCUUCCCUUCUGCCGCGCCCUCCUCCCCCUCCCCACCCCCCCACCGUGCCCGAUCCGGACGGGACCCCUCAAAACCCUGAAGGCCUUUAAAAUGCAGCAUCCCCGGGCAGGUCUCUGCCCAGGCUUGGUGCUGGAUGCCUCCCUCCGGAGUAAUUGCUGGAACAAUGAAGGCAUCUUAGCUGUACAUGACUAACCAAGAUGUCUGUAGCCGGCAGAGACAACGGUUGGCAAAUACCAGAGCUGUUUCACAACCUCGCUUUUUCCAGGAUCCAGAGCUGGUGGGAGCUGACUCACAUCAUCUUGGGGUUUCGCUGAUAGCAACAAGUCGCCACUGCGGGGUCAGCUACCUGGGCGCACUUCUAGGUGACGGCCCGCCUGCCCGCCCCUUUGGGCUGUGUGGUGUUGACUGCAGGCCUCAUAGACGAGAGGACACAGCUGAAGACAGUGGGACUUCAGGGAAAUGCCUCUUUCAGGACAGAGAACCACCCAACGCCAGGGGUCACGAACGCACAGGGUUCUGAAGGGAGGUGUAGGGUGUUUGGGGGUUGGGGGGGCAGCCUUUUGUUCGCAGGGGAGCCCCGAUCUUCCUUCCCAAGGGUCCCAGACAAGGAAACGCAAGCCUCCACCGGGCCCGCCCUGACACAUCACCCUGGAAACUGACUCACAUCUCUGAGCCCUGAGUCAUAUCCUGUUGUGCGUUUGGAGGCAUCCAAGAGGGCAUUACACCAGCUCCCCAUGACUGAGGUGAAUCUGAAGAGCACCCUGGGAAGCACCUUGCCGUCUUCCAAACAGAAAGAGGGC